rnacentral:lncRNA from 1 species
AUGCCGAUGGAGAAGGUCCAUGACCUUGAUCCCAAGAGCCUUGGGAAUGGCGGUUCUUUCAGCCGUUCUCCGGGGAGCCUGGCCACUGCUCCUGUGGGUGCCAUAGCCACAACUACUGAAGAUCCAGAAAGGAAGUCUUUGGAGCUCGGACUAGGGCCUAGAGAAAGGAGGGACAAAGAACAGAAUUACUAUGAUGAUGGAGUACUCACAUGUUAGCACCUCAACUAUAGCCACCUCAGAUACAGAAGGAAUAACUAUCCCCACCCCACUGUCCUGGCACCUGGGUGAAGUUGACGUCACCCCAUGCUGAUUCGAACUCUGACUUCCCUUCCCUGAACCUCAGUUUCCUCUUCUGUCAAAUGAGGCUGUCGACCAAACAUUUUCCAAGCUCAUGUCUGGCUCUCCCUCUCUGAUAUACGAGCAUCAUCUUGAGCAGGUAAGCCACCAACUUCCAAAGACAGACCUCCUUGAGAACUUGGGAUAAUCUUUGGCUCAAGAAAAGGCGAUCCCGAAUGGUUCUCCUGCCUAGGACAAGCGGCCCGAGCUCUGUCACCGCCACUGCCAUGAGUCUGUUCUUGCUUGGAAUGUAUCUGACUCAGAACUUGGCCUAACAACUCGAAGAUAUUAAAAGAGAUGCAGAUGCCAAAAAGAAAUCCCCUAGCUCUUACUGCCAGCCUCGGAACAUCUGCUAGGCGUGCUAAUCAAAACCUUGAGGAUCCCACUUCUUCCCGUUCUUCCAUCCAUAACACCUUUUCUUUUCUGGCCUGGGCAACUCUUCACCUUUCGGGCCACUGAGCUGCCUUGGAAGUCAAAGGCCAACACCACAUCCACAUCGCUCUUUGUUCUAAUCUUUGCUACUUUCCCUGGAUCCCUCUGUCCACAUGGGAGAGUGACACCUGAAUCAAGGCAUUUAAGCAAGAAGCACUGGUUUGGAAAAGUGCUCUCUCCCCUUCCCUCUUUAACUGUGGAUUCCUCAAGACAUCACACAAAUGUCUUGCUCCCCAAGUAGGACAGGGCCCCAAGGUCAAGAUGGCGUGAGUUCAAAUCCAGCCUCAGGAACUUAUUAGCUGUGUGUCCCUAGACACAUCACUUAACCUCUGUCUAUCUCAGGAAAUAGGAAUAAUAAUUGCACCUAUCUCCCAGGAUUGUUAUGAGGAUCAAAUGAGAUAAUAUUUGUACAGUACUCGGCACAUAGCAGACGCUUAAUAGAUGCUUGUUUCCUUUCUUCCUUCUUCAAUUUUCCCUUGGAUUCUAAUAAAUCUGGGUAGUUCUCAUUUAAGAUGUUUUUGAAAUAGAAUGUCUGGGCUUUUAAAAAAUUAGAUAGUUUUCGACAAAUGCAAUGAUGUUUAAAUUCUUCCUGUUUUCCAGGUCACUUCUUUUAUAUUUUACCUUCCAUUUUUUAAACUUGGGAUUUUAUUCUAAUAUUUCUUACUGUCUCAUGGGGUCAUUAAUUUAUGUUUGAUCUUUUCUAGUGGGGGUGGGGUUCCAUUUCUUGGUUUACCACUUUCUCUAAGAUCUACUCCUGAUUUUUUUCAUUUUUUAUUACUUCAUUUCUUUUAGGCAUUCUUGUAGUCCUUGUGGAAAGGCUGUUUUUGCUUUUGAGUCUUUGCAGUUGUUUGCAAUCUUUUUUUUUAUAUUGGCUUAUAUUUUCUUUGAUUUUCUCAUCCAUCUAAUUUUAGUUUCUGAAUUGGGGCUUUGCACACCCUAACCCUAACCCUAAAUUCACCUUUUCCCCUUACUGUACUUUGGGAUGGGGUGAUUGCACUUGCUUGGUCUUGUGCUGGGUCCUCUGGAUUCUUGGGAUGAGCCCUGCUUACUGAAGUUAGGUCCUCCUGGAGCUUUUAAGUUGAGAGCACUGGGUCUUCAGGACAUACAAAGCUCACCCAUUUAAACUUCAACCACAGUGGAGAACACAUGGUGGUGUGAGGGCAUUAGCCCCAUUCUGAAAAUGACCAGAUUGGGUCUCCCAGAACGAGGACUUGGAAGUCAGCACAUCGUGCUAAUACGUCUAAACCCACAGUGAAUUUGGCAGUUUAGACCUAGAGAAAGUGGAUCCCGGCUCGUCACACAAUAAUGCUCUUCCAGAAACCACUUAGGUGGUUGAUUCCUCAUUAUUUGGACCCAAGCAUUUGGGGAGAGAAAGUCCCCUCGUGCCUUCAGAUGUGUCUCUUCAACUCAAGCCAUUUGGAAGUCACAUUUAUAGGAUUUAUGAACAAAGAAAAUUUCACAAGAUGACAAAAGAUAAUUAUACAACUCUAGGUGAAGUACAAGUUAAUAAUUUGCUUCAUCAAUCUAGAACAAAUGAUUUAAUCUUGAAGUUUUCCUAAAACCACCUAAUCCCUCUAGGAUGCCCCCCAGAAUCCUUCAACAAAGCCCAACUGGUGCCUGAAGUGAUCAAGAAAUGGAUUUCCUCUGGUAUGACCCCUUCACGGACGAAGAAGGCAGAGAACCUUGUUCUGAGUCUAGUGACCACUCUUAAUGCAUUUUGCAGAGCCUUAGCUUGCUUUCUUGUUGACUUUUUAUGCUCUUUCUUCAAGAAAGGGAUUAGGCCUAAGAGCAAAAGGGAGAAAAAGAUUUUAGUGGAAACCAUCAUUUCCUGAGAAGUUCAUUCAACACUAUUAAAGUUUCCUUCCUUCAGCCAGCAAAUCCAAGUCUGAAAAGAACUUUAGAAAGCAUAUUUCUUUCUUUUUUUCCAUGGAACUGAGGAGUUUCCACAAACCCAAGGCAACAGCACAAAGCAGGCCCCCCUCCAACCACUUGGCUCAAAGCCCGGCUAAGCCUAAGUCUGUCCUAGGAAAAAGGCAGAUUGACCAGGAAGCCCUAGGACCCUCAUUCCAGUUGCUCCUUGCAGAUCCCCGCAGAUCUCCCUAGGGGCUGGCCCCAUCCCUUUGGGGAAGAUGGCCCAAAGAAUAACAGGAAGGAGUUUGGCAGUUCUGCAGUGAAUCAAAAGAGCCUUCCCCCCUUGCCAUCUUCUGCAUAGUAGCCACAGUCCUCCCCCCUUUCCCCGUAUUCUCUCUCUGCCUUCCCCUACCCUCAACCAUUCUACUGUCCAUUGCAACCUCUUUGCAUUAGUCUACCCCAAUCUCAAGCAUAAUAUAUCCAUCAUUAGCUAAGAUUUCCAGAGAGCACUCCAGAGGCCCACUAUCACUCAGCUGCAAUUACUGCUGCACAAACCACAAGCUAUUCCAAUCACCUGCCAUUACUAUUUUCACACGCUAAAUGGGGGAAACCGAGGUAAGGAGGACCAACGAAAUGGUUUAACAGGUUGAGCUUUUUUAAGCCAUUCGACUGUUUGGUGUUGAUUUCCUGUUCUGUCCAUGAGAGCAAAACCAAGCGUACCCCUGGGCACAGAAGGCUCAUUUCCCUUCCAGCCGGGCAAGAUGGUACAGAGGUUAAACGAGCGCAGCUACUCCCAGGCAGGAAACCGGAGAGAGCAAUUUCACCUUGUACUUUCUCUUGGCUUUUCUUCAAUAGGACUCGGUUGGCCAUCUAACUGCUGACCACAACCUAACUGUCUUCAGCUAACUUUGCUGACUGCCAGCUAACUGUGCCCGGUUGACUGGUCUGAGUCUCACUCAUUGGUGGAACGGGAUAGGUCGAGCCCAAAGGGAUUCUGAAAAGGGAAACGCCAUAUGCUCAUGGCAGAAGAGGCUUCUAGACAUUUUCGACAGAUGGGGCAGCUCGAUGGCACAGUGGAUAGAGCACCAGCCCUGGAGUCAAGGGGACCCGAGUUCAAAUUUGGCCUCAGGCACUUGAUACUAGUUGUGUGAUCCUGGACGAGUCGCUUAACCUGGUUUGUCUUGCUAGAAACAGAGAGAGAAAGAGGUGGGGGAGGGAGGGAGGAAGGGAGGAAGGGAGAAGAGGAAAAAAAGGGAGGGAAGGGAGAGAGGCAAAAAAAAAAAAAGAAAUGAAGGGAGGGAGGGAAAAAGGAGGAAAGGAAGAGAGGCAAAAUAA